rnacentral:rRNA from 1 species
AGUGAACGCUGGCGGUAGGCCUAACACAUGCAAGUCGAACGGCAGCACAGGAGAGCUUGCUCUCUGGGUGGCGAGUGGCGGACGGGUGAGGAAUACAUCGGAAUCUACUCUGUCGUGGGGGAUAACGUAGGGAAACUUACGCUAAUACCGCAUACGACCUACGGGUGAAAGCAGGGGACCUUCGGGCCUUGCGCGAUUGAAUGAGCCGAUGUCGGAUUAGCUAGUUGGCGGGGUAAAGGCCCACCAAGGCGACGAUCCGUAGCUGGUCUGAGAGAAUGAUCAGCCACACUGGAACUGCGACACGGUCCAGACUCGUAGGGGAGGCAGCAGUGGGGAAUAUUGGACAAUGGGGGCAAGCCUGAUCCAGCCAUACCGCGUGGGUGAAGAAGGCCUUCGGGUUGUAAAGCCCUUUUGUUGGGAAAGAAAUCCAGCUGGCUAAUACCCGGUUGGGAUGACGGUACCCAAAGAAUAAGCACCGGCUAACUUCGUGCCAGCCGCCGCGGUAA